rnacentral:rRNA from 1 species
GACGAACGCUGGCGGCGUGCCUAAUACAUGCAAGUAGAACGCUGAAGAGAGGAGCUUGCUCUUCUUGGAUGAGUUGCGAACGGGUGAGUAACGCGUAGGUAACCUGCCUUGUAGCGGGGGAUAACUAUUGGAAACGAUAGCUAAUACCGCAUAACAAUAGGUGACACAUGUCAUUUAUUUGAAAGGGGCAAUUGCUCCACUACAAGAUGGACCUGCGUUGUAUUAGCUAGUAGGUGAGGUAACGGCUCACCUAGGCAACGAUACAUAGCCGACCUGAGAGGGUGAUCGGCCACACUGGGACUGAGACACGGCCCAGACUCCUACGGGAGGCAGCAGUAGGGAAUCUUCGGCAAUGGGGGCAACCCUGACCGAGCAACGCCGCGUGAGUGAAGAAGGUUUUCGGAUCGUAAAGCUCUGUUGUAAGUCAAGAACGAGUGUGAGAGUGGAAAGUUCGCACUGUGACGGUAGCUUACCAGAAAGGGACGGCUAACUACGUG